rnacentral:rRNA from 1 species
UACGUAGGGUGCAAGCGUUAUCCGGAUUUAUUGGGCGUAAAGGGCUCGUAGGCGGACUUUUAAGUGAGAUGUGAAAUACUCGGGCUCAACUUGAGUGCUGCAUUUCAAACUGGAAGUCUAGAGUGCAGGAGAGGAGAAUGGAAUUCCUAGUGUAGCGGUGAAAUGCGUAGAGAUUAGGAAGAGCACCAGUGGCGAAGGCGAUUCUCUGGACUGUAACUGACGCUGAGGCUCGAAAGCGUGGGGAGCAAACAGG